UAAUUGUUCCAUUAGAGUAGCUUCAUUUUAUCAGGAUCCUGUGAAAAUUGAAAUAAAGAAUGUAACCACUACCUCCAGCUUAUGUGACUAUUCCUUACAUUCUGAUUAUAAGAAUACAAGUAGUUUACUGUAUUCGUGUGGUGUAAAUUUAAAUAAUACAAUUUUUAAUUUGACCGCUAUGGAAACUGUGAGACUGCAUAUGGAGACAGGAGCUAAUAAUGCUGUCGGAUUUCCGUUUUGUCUUGAACUAUCUAGUCAGCGAGGUAAAUAUGUUUCACUCUUAUUUAAUAAAAUCAUUAAUUGUAUAUGAUGCGUAAACCUUUGUCCAGUUAUUUUUUAUCACAACGACCCAUGAGACGUAAGACGUAAACCUGAUCUGGAAUAGGCGGUAAGACAGAUAAAUGCCAUAAAUGUUUCCCUGGUACGAUUUGAAAUAAAAUAUAUAUUUGACCAUUGUUAAUGUUAUAUUUUCAAUUUUGUGUCUCCUUUGUAGGACAAGCACAUCACCGUACCCACCCAACUUCUGUUUCCAUCCAAAAACAAGAACUAUUAAAACAAGGGCGAGAUUAGACUGAAAUGAAAUGAAAUGGGGUUUAACGUCCUGCUGUUCUACUCCUAACAUGAGCUAAUGAAGACGGGCAUACGCCAUACAGUGUGCUAUGAGGGAAAUUUUGCCCGGGCAGCAGCGCUACGGCCUACUCUUAUAUCGAAUUCCAACUGCCAAGGGAUCUUUUACGUGCACGCCAAUGUGUACACCGGACCUCGGUUUUUCGUCCCAUCCGAACGACUAGACAGCUGUCCUUGUCAGGUCCUCCGUCCUGCAUGACUGACAAGGGGAACCCACGCCGGAAAAUCGGGAUGAACUUUCUCGGCCAAUGCAGGGAUCGAACACCCGACCUCCAGGCUAGCGAGCCACCGUCUUACCCACUUAGCGACGUGAUCACCGAGAUUAGACUAGGCUCACCACACGUUAGUUGAAUCCAGUUAACUCGGGUCUGUUCGUUGCUGUGGCGUCCACAGCAGAUUGUAAUAUCAAGUGAUUCCAAAAAUAUAUAUUUACAUAUAGUUUGAAUAGCACAUUGUCAUAAUGUAUUUUUUAGGAAUUCAAUCUCUGCCAGUUAAAGGGGAGCAUAAUUAGAUUGGUUAUGGGUAUUUUACGUAAAAAAUAGGCACAUAUUUAACUUUUCUGAUCCGAAAUGUUGGCUAUUUACCCCAGACUGUGUUUCGUGGGCUUUAAAUCAAUGAAUUACAGUAGAAUAUGUACGAGCAGCCACUCCUAUUCAGCGACAUCUCCUUGUAAGUGGUUACGAGAAAUUCCCCCGUAUCUCUUUAAUCAACGGUCACUCCUCUAACGCGGCCAGCGGUCACUAUUUUACUAAUAAAUGUAAUAUUUUAGCAGGUUCGAGUAUUAAGCUAUACUGUACAUCCAAUAAGUCAACAACAACCACAGCGUCACCUAUACAAUUAACGUACAUGAAAUCGACAAACACUUUAAUGUCGACGAUUUCUAACAACAAUAACACACCAACUUCCAGUACUGGCGGAAAUGAUGGUACGAGCUAUCCAACGUUUACAUCUAACACCAGUAGUGGCAUUCCUUCAACAACUAAAUCAAACAAUGGUGAUUCUAAUCUGUUAAUUGGUAUAAUAAUUGGAUCUAUCCUAGCGGUUCUGAUCGUGGUAACGUUAGUUAUUACAAUUGUUUGUUUGGUGAAAAGACGAAAGAAAGAUGUCAUAUAUGAAACGCCACGACAACCACAGCAGAGUUCACAUAUUUAUAUGGAUUUACAUUCUGAACCCGUUAACAGUAGAACGCAGCAAAACAACAUUUAUGUGAACAGCGUGGUGAUUUAAAAACAAAACAAAACAUGUAUUGACUCUAUAAAGUAUCGUUGACUUUUAGUAGAUGGGAAUAAUGGGGACUAACCGCAAAGGCAUGAUACACCAAAAUAACCAUCUUUCAAGAACGCGAUGUCUUCAACGGGCAAAUCUUACAAGUUUCGACAGCUUGUAUCUACCUACUUGUUUGUAACAAUGAAAACAUAAUUAUAAACAUUGCUAACAUAACCUUGAAUCUACUAAUGUAUUUGUAAGCUACUCACAGUAUAAUUUUCAUAUUAACGUGCAUGUUUAAUUGGUCGGAUUUAAAUGUAAACAAAACGAAAAUUGUCGUUUCGCAAAUAAUUUCUAGAGUUACUAUAUUGAAACAACGUGAAGUCAGGCCACGAUUAAGUAACUACUCAACCGCAGUGCCACAUGUAUGAAUUGGUUCAGGUGACGAAAGUAUUAUAACCCUGUAUAGAUGAACUGUUAUAGAUGUGGUACACGCUAGUUUAUACAUACUACCUGUGUAAUUGUUUUCAACUAUAUUCAUAAAUUCGUCUACACAUUUGCGUGCACGUAAAAGAUCCCUUGGAAAUUGGAAUUUGAUAUAAGAGUAGGCCGUAGUGUAUGGCGUAUGCCGGUCUUCAUUAGCACUGUUCGGAGCAGAACAGUAGGACGUUAAACCCCAUUUCAUUCCAUUUGUUCAUAGACUAAAAUGUGUUUCUUCUUUGUGUUAUAUCAAUGAUUUAUUCUCGUUGUGUAGAGGUGUAAAUGUUUUUAAUUAAAAUG